UUGGUUGAAAUUUUGCCACUAUUGCUCUCAUAUGAGCGCAAAAUCUCGACUUUCUCUCACUACAAUUCACAUAUUAAUACGCGCUCUUUCUCUCUCUUGAUCUCAGCAUUCGAGUGCGUGUUUUCUUGAUUCAUUCACUCUUCCACCUUACACUCGGAUCUCUUGGGUUCCUCGAAUUGCACAACUUACUGUAAAAGAUGCCGCUCAGACUAGAAAUCAAGAGGAAACUUGCGCAAAGAUCAGAAAGAGUAAAAUCUGUGGAUCUACAUCCUACAGAGCCAUGGAUAUUGGCAAGUUUGUAUACGGGGACUGUUUGCAUCUGGAACUAUCAGACCCAGACAAUGGUUAAAUCUUUUGAGGUCACAGAACUACCAGUUAGAUCUGCUAAGUUCAUAGCACGGAAGCAGUGGGUGGUUGCUGGUUCUGAUGACAUGUUCAUGCGUGUGUACAAUUACAAUACAAUGGAUAAGGUCAAAGUAUUUGAGGCCCAUACAGAUUAUAUUAGGUGUGUGGCCGUUCAUCCCACUCUUCCAUAUGUGUUGUCAUCCUCCGAUGACAUGCUCAUAAAGCUCUGGGAUUGGGAAAAGGGAUGGGCGUGCACUCAAAUAUUUGAGGGUCAUUCCCAUUACGUGAUGCAAGUGACAUUUAAUCCUAAAGAUACUAAUACUUUUGCCAGUGCAUCACUUGAUCGUUCUAUCAAGAUUUGGAAUCUUGGCUCCCCUGACCCAAACUUUACCCUAGAUGCCCACCUGAAAGGAGUCAACUGUGUAGAUUACUUUGUUGGUGGUGAUAAACCUUAUUUAAUCACUGGUUCUGAUGAUCAUACUGCUAAGGUUUGGGAUUAUCAGACAAAGAGCUGUAUCCAGACACUAGAAGGCCACACACACAAUGUAUCUGCAGUUUGUUUCCAUCCUGAACUUCCCAUUAUCAUAACAGGUUCUGAGGAUGGUACAGUCCGCAUAUGGCAUGCCACCACUUAUAGACUUGAGAACACAUUGAAUUAUGGCCUUGAAAGAGUUUGGGCACUUGGUUACAUGAAAGGUUCAAGACGGGUUGUAAUUGGUUAUGAUGAAGGAACCAUCAUGGUAAAGCUUGGUCGAGAGGUACCUAUUGCUAGUAUGGACAACAGUGGGAAAAUCAUUUGGGCUAAGCAUAAUGAAAUUCAGACGGUCAACAUUAAGAGUGUCGGAGCAGAUUAUGAGGUCUCUGAUGGAGAGAGAUUGCCUUUGGCUGUUAAGGAAUUGGGUACCUGUGACCUUUAUCCACAGAGCUUAAAGCACAACCCCAACGGUAGGUUUGUUGUUGUGUGCGGAGAUGGUGAGUACAUUAUAUACACGGCUUUGGCAUGGAGAAACAGGUCAUUUGGUUCAGCUUUGGAAUUUGUAUGGUCAACGGAGGGAGAAUAUGCUGUUAGGGAAAGUACAUCAAAGAUCAAGAUCUUCAGUAAAAAUUUCCUGGAAAAGAAAAGCAUCCGUCCCACAUUUUCCGCAGAGCACAUCUAUGGCGGCAGUUUAUUGGCAAUGUGCUCAAAUGAUUUUAUUUGUUUCUAUGAUUGGGCUGAGUGCAGGUUAAUACGGAGAAUUGAUGUCAAUGUCAAAAAUCUGUACUGGGCUGACAGUGGUGAUUUGGUGGCCAUUGCCAGUGAUUCAUCGUUCUACAUACUUAAGUAUAAUCGUGAUGUAGUUUCUGCCCAUCUGGAUAGUGGGAGAUCAGUAGAUGAACAAGGCGUAGAAGAUGCUUUUGACCUUCUUUAUGAAAUUAAUGAACGUGUACGGACUGGAAUUUGGGUGGGGGAUUGUUUCAUUUACAAUAACUCAUCUUGGAGACUUAACUACUGCGUAGGUGGUGAGGUGACAACAAUGUUCCAUUUAGACCGGCCCAUGUACCUACUUGGAUAUCUUGCUAAUCAGAGUCGUGUUUAUCUGAUUGACAAAGAAUUUAAUGUUAUGGGUUACACUUUGCUUCUCACCUUGAUUGAGUAUAAGACUCUUGUAAUGCGUGGUGAUCUCGGAAGGGCAAGUGAGGUCUUACCAUCAAUUCCGAAGGAGCAUCAUAACAGUGUGGCCCGUUUCUUGGAAUCACGAGGAAUGGUAGAAGAUGCACUUGAAGUUGCUACAGAUCCCGACUACAGAUUUGAGCUGGCCAUCCAGCUAGGCAAGCUGGAGAUUGCAAAGGAAAUUGCCAUGGUUGCACAGAGUGAGUCUAAAUGGAAACAAUUGGGCGAAUUAGCCAUGUCUGCUGGAAUGUUGGAGAUGGCAGAGAAGUGUUUGAAGCAAGCAAAUGACCUGAGUGGUUUGUUGCUACUCUAUUCUUCUUUAGGCAAUGCUGAAGGAAUUACUGAACUUGCAUCUCUUGCCAAAGAGCAUGGGAAAAACAAUGUUGCAUUCCUUUGUCUGUUUAUGUUGGGAAAAUUGGAGGACUGCCUUCAGCUAUUAAUUGACAGCAACCGGAUACCUGAAGCUGCGUUUAUGGCUCGGUCUUACCUUCCAAGUAAGGUGUCAGAAAUUGUUGCUCUUUGGAGAAAAGACCUCAAUAAGAUUAAUCCGAAAGCAGCAGAAUCUCUUGCUGAUCCAGAAGAAUAUCCAAAUCUGUUUGAUGAAUGGCAAGUUGCACUUGCUGUUGAAGCUAAAGCGGCUGGGACAAGGGGUAACUAUCUUCCUGCUGCUGAAUAUGUGCAACAUGCUGAUAGAUCAACCGCCAGUCUUGUUGAAGCUUUUAGAAACAUGCAAAUAGAAGAAGAAACCCUGGAAAAUGGAGGCUUGGAUUAUGAGGGUGGAGAACCAAACGGUGAAGUGCAAGAGGGGCCUGAUGGCACUCAAGAAGAGGCUAUUGUUGUGGAUGCUGAUUCAACAGAUGGAGCCGUACUUGUUAAUGGCAAUGAGGCUGAGGAACAGUGGGGUACGAAUAAUGAAGGAAAACCGUCAGCCUAAAAGCAAUUGGUUGGGCCAGUGUCAUAUUCCUAGUUUUGUAGCUGUGCUUACGCCAAGUAACUGAGUCCACUCAAGGCAAACGGUUCCAGCUGUCAACUAUUUUUCUCACGGUACACUAGAAGUUGCCUGCAAGACGCGUUCCGGGGACCAGAGGUGUCUUUCUGCCAGUGGGGUGAUAAGCGCAUUGAUUUUUUGUCGUUGGGGGCGCACACAUUGUAGACUUUCGAGUUACCAUUAUUAGUUAGCUGCGGCAUUAGUUCUCUUAUUACACAUUCUUUUAUACCAAUUUUCCGUUUAAAGCUUCAUAUGCCGUCGGUGAGAAGUGUAGAUACAUAAUAGCUACUUUUCAGAAAUUUGUAUGGGUUGAUUGACUAUCAUGGUCCUCUGAAUUUUGUUAUAUCAAUAUGCUGUUCUCUUAAUCUCCA